UUUGUAGGCGACGAGAACCCGU
rnacentral:miRNA from 1 species